GCGAGUGGAGGAGAGAGAAAGAGAGGAGAAUAGAGAAAGAAGGAAGGGAAGAGAGAAAGAAGGAAGGGUGAGGGAUGGGCCUGAACCUGUCAGUGGCCUGAGGGGAAUGAGUGGCUAUGGCGACAGAAGCAAGGAAGGGCCCAGUCAACCAUUGCUGCUGUUUGGGCCAUUGGCGGAGGGAGGCAUGCAUGCAAGAGAUGAGCCCAGGCCUGUCAGCGGCCUGAGGGGAACGAGCGGUCAUGGUGGUGGCGGCAGCGAGGAAGGGCCUGGUCAACCGCUGCUGUUCCUGUGGAUAUGAGCAGGAGCAGGGCUUGGGUGAAGGUAGGGAGGUCUCUGGGAAUAGGGGGCUGCAGCUUGGCUAAUAGGUGCCAGCAAUGCUGCAGUCACAGCCAAGAGGGGUGAGGGAGAUGGAGUAAAGGGAUGGAGGAGUGACCAAGAAGGGAGAGGGGGAUGGAAGCAACCAGAUGGAGGAGGAGGAGUGUGGCUCAGGUGAAGGUGGAGAGAUCUCUGAGGUGGACAACAGCAAAAGUCACUGAAAGAAUGCUGCACCGGGACUGAAUAGAGCCAGUUGCUCUCCCACUGCGGAAUAUAAGAAAAUCACCACUAUGAAAUGUGCCUCUUUACCCAGUUAGCAGGAGUUAUGUCACAUAAACAAGUGGCGAGACUGCACUUUGGACAGCUCACAAAAUAGCACUUCCCAGGGCUCAAGGAUGGAAGCAAUGUCAGAGGUAUAUAUAUAAACAUGGUGUACUUUGUCAAGGACAUCUCAGCCAAGCUGUCAGCCAUUUGCCUGAGCUAAAGAGAGGAAAAAAGAGGACACCUGGAACAAGAGAGACUGGACAAGAUCCGAGAACUGUGAUUGGCUGGACCCAGCUCAGCAUACUGUUCUGGUCAGCUAAAGUGAAGUAAAGAAAAAUAAACUGAGGUUGCCUCAUCCCAAGGGAGGUGCUACAGCAUGGGAGAAACACAGAAUUAGGAGCAGUUCCCUCUUCUACACCUCCAGUAAGACCCAGCCUACCUAAAGAACCUAGGGAAAGGUUAUGCAUGCUUUUUUCUUUCUUCCAGCAAUCGUUUGCACUACAUAAACUUUUGACAUAUGAAGCUAUCUCAUACUGAGUCAGACCAUUGGUCUAUCUAGCUGGCUCUUUCCUACUCUGGCAGGCAAUGGCUUUCUAGGGUUGCAGACAAAGGGUCUUUUCAAGGUGUGCUACCAGAGCUCCUUUGUUGACUGGGGAUACUGGAGACUGAACCAUAGCCUCCUGCGGACAAAGCAUGUGCUCUGCCACGGAGCUAUGCCCCUCCCUUCAGGUUUUCCUAUUUCUUCUAGCUACUGCAAAUGGGUUUGAGUCUGAAACUGAUCAACACCCUCCAUCAUAACAAGAGAUUGGCUGAUAAGACAAUUGGGGGUGUGCCUCCAGCACCCUGGAUAGCUCCUCUUCAAAAAAAUGAGCACAAUCAAAAUUAUGCAGAAUUGGAAAAAAAAUCUAUAUAAUUAUUUCUCCAAGAUGGGAUGUGUGGGGACAUGGCAGAAAGGAGGUGAUUGGUACCCGGUCAGCUAGUACCUUUAAAAAUGCAAAUAUGCUUGUUGUGCAUGUGUAUACACCUCACAGAAUGUUGCUUUUCUAGCCAGAUAAUUUGGAUUGCCAGGGGGCAAAAAUGAUUUUUUAAAAAACACGGAGAUAUUGUUAGAUUGUUAGUGUUCAAGAGUUGGGUGGGGGAGAUACAGAGUAUGACUCCAUUUUAUCUCAGUUUUGAGGACGUUUUGAUUGCCUCCAGAGAUACAGCACCCACUUACUAAUCCUCCUUUUUAAAAUCAACAACUAUUUUCUAUAAAAUUAUACAUAAUUUUUAAAACAUACAAAUAAACCAGUUAUAUCUAUUAAUGAGUGUGCCUUAUUUUCCCACUAUUAAAUAAAAAGCUUUUAAUUG